GGAGAGGUGUCCGAGUGGCUGAAGGAGCCGGUUUCGAAAACCGGUGUGCCCGUAAGGGUACCGCGGGUUCGAAUCCCGCUCUCUCCG
rnacentral:tRNA from 1 species